rnacentral:rRNA from 1 species
ACUCAAAGGAAUUGACGGGGACCCGCACAAGCGGUGGAUGAUGUGGUUUAAUUCGAUGCUACGCGAAGAACCUUACCCACCUUUGACAUGUACGGAAUUGGCUAGAGAUAGUUGAGUGCUCGAAAGAGAACCGUAACACAGGUGCUGCAUGGCUGUCGUCAGCUCGUGUCGUGAGAUGUUGGGUUAAGUCCCGCAACGAGCGCAACCCUUAUCAUUAGUUGCUACAUUUAGUUGAGAACUCUAAUGAGACUGCCGGUGAUAAGCCGGAGGAAGGUGGGGAUGACGUCAAGUCCUCAUGGCCCUUAUAGGUGGGGCUACACACGUCAUACAAUGGCUGGUACAGAUGGUUGCCAACCCGCGAGGGGGAGCCAAUCCAACAAAACCAGUCGUAGUCCGGAUCGCAGUCUGCAACUCGACUGCGUGAAGUCGGAAUCGCUAGUAAUCGUGGAUCAGAAUGUCACGGUGAAUACGUUCCCGGGUCUUGCACACACCGCCCGU